CACGGUUGGGGACAAGAACUCAGGGAAGGCAGAGAGGCAUUUCGCAAGUAAUAUGCUAACAAGAGUGGGCUGCAAUGACUGCCUUUGGACAGGGUACCUACCUUGAUCCUGCCUGGAGGCUGUCCACCAUCCAAGCAGCUAUCUAUCCAUUGCUCCUGGCCUGCAAGGGACCCAGCUGACUCCUCUCCUCCAGCCCUGGAGGCCUCUACAUCCACCUGGGGGUGAGGGCAGCAACCAAGGAGACCGUGUGUUGCAGUGCCAGUAGCUACAAGAUGGCAGAGCCUCCUUCAGCCCGGAUGGCAGAGUUGCUGCUUGGAGGAUAGUGGUGCUGCUGCCUUCUGCGUGACGUGGUCCUGCAGACACCUGACUCAUGGGCUUCCUUGGCUGUUGCACACGUCAGCUAGAAGUACCUUUGGAAGGCAACAGUGUGAAUUCCUCUUCCACGACAACCCCGCUUCUGAGAAAGACCCAGGAUGCCAGACUGGAGAGGGAGUUCUCCACUCUGACCUUCUCUGGCUCCCUCCAAGGGCACAUACCUCAAUGAGACACUCGAAGUGCUCCACAAUUUGACCCUUAUUCUUAACUCCUACAUCUUCUUUAGGCCCCUUUUCCAUUCUCCUGGCUGUCUUCUCAACCCCAACAAUCUACAUCCCCUUCCUAGGAGACACCUUGAAAUCUUGUGCCUUCUUUCUCCACUCUCAUGUCUGCCAACAUUUCAGGGUCCAGCUCAAAUUCUACCUCCUCAAGAAGCCUUCCCAGAUUUCCCUGUCAGAGUGAAUCUUUCCUAGCAACAGGACCCACCGUUUGCGUUUCUGUUUUAGCAUUUCCCACAAUCUGCUUUUGUUCAUCGGCCGGUUAUACACAUUUCUUUGCCAACCAGUUUAUGAGCUUCUGGGAGUUGAAGACCCUGCCAUAUUCAUCUCUGUGUCUGGGGAUGCUGCAUAUGGUUGUUUAGGUUGGACACUGCACAAGAGCACCCAGCUGAGGGGGAGUUGGUGGGAGCUGAUGUAACCUGAUCACUGCUCCCUGGCAAGGGUCUGGGUUGGCCCAGAGAAAGAGGUGACUUUUUCUAUUUCGCACAAGGGUGCUGUACAGGGUAGAAGGAGCCUAGUCUGUAUCCCUCUCAGCCCCUGAUUGUUUUGCUUUGUAGGUGACAGGGGCUUCACGAAUGUUGUUGGAGUU